GCACAAGCGGUGGAUGAUGUGGUUUAAUUCGAUGCAACGCGAAAACCUUACCUACCUUUGACAUGUACGGAAUUCGCCAGAGAUGGCUUAGUGCUCGAAAGAGAACCGUAACACAGGUGCUGCAUGGCUGUCGUCAGCUCGUGUCGUGAGAUGUUGGGUUAAGUCCCGCAACGAGCGCAACCCUUGUCAUUAGUUGCUACAUUUAGUUGGGCACUCUAAUGAGACUGCCGGUGACAAACCGGAGGAAGGUGGGGAUGACGUCAAGUCCUCAUGGCCCUUAUAGGUAGGGCUACACACGUCAUACAAUGGAUGGUACAAAGGGUCGCCAACCCGCGAGGGGGAGCCAAUCCCAUAAAACCAUUCGUAGUCCGGAUCGCAGUCUGCAACUCGACUGCGUGAAGUCGGAAUCGCUAGUAAUCGUGGAUCAGAAUGUCACGGUGAAUACGUUCCCGGGUCUU
rnacentral:rRNA from 1 species